AUUGAACGCUGGCGGCAGGCCUAACACAUGCAAGUCGAGCGGAGCGGCGGACGGGUGAGUAAUGCCUAGGAAUCUGCCUGGUAGUGGGGGAUAACGUCCGGAAACGGGCGCUUAUAUCGUAUACUAUCAGAUUAGCCUAGGUGGGAUCAGCUAGUUGGUGGGGUAAAGGCCUACCAAGGCGACGACCCGUAACUGGUCUGAGAGGAUGAUCAGUCACACUGGAACUGAGACACGGGCCAGACUCCUACGGGAGGCAGCAGUGGGGAAUAUUGGACAAUGGGCGAAAGCCUGAUCCAGCCAUGCCGCGUGUGUGAAGAAGGUCUUCGGAUUGUAAAGCACUUUAAGUUGGGAGGCGUUACCAACAGAAUAAGCACCGGCUAACUUCGUGCCAGCAGCCGCGGUAAUUC
rnacentral:rRNA from 1 species